UAAAAAACACAGCUUUUGGAAACUUCCAAAUUACUCUCUGUGUCACACUUUUCUCACUUCUCUACAACGGCACUUCUCCACCGUCUACAGCGCACUUCUCCGCCGUCUACGUCGGCACUUCUCUACAGUGGCACGUCUCCUUACAACUCUGUAAACUUCAGCUACUCACCAAAUUCAAAAUGGGAUAGGUGUUCUAAGAUUCUUCGAGACAUUCUGUGUCUACAGAUUUUUUGGGGCCACUUUGUCUGCAAUGGUGUCGCUAACAAGUGCCUUGUUUCUUCUUGAAAUUUGGAGUUGUCGUCUCCAUAUAUCCUUUUGUUUAUGCUGGAGUAAGGAGAGCUUCUAGAUCUUCAGGGAUAAAAAAAUUUGAGAAAUGAUAUGAGUCUGCGGCAGAGUGAAGCGCCAAUCUCGAACAGGUAACCUACGUGACUGAGUACCAAAAUCGUUGUGAGGAUAUUUUGUCGAGCUUUGGUAAGUCCGAUGUACUCUUCCCAGGCCACACAUAUGUUCAUCCAUGUUGGAGCAACAGAACUAACUCUCUUAUAUCGUAAUAUCAUGACCAAUCAUAAUGCAAAAGCAAUACAAAUGUGUGUAAGGUGUGUGAUUAGUUGUCCGAUAGGUACAAAGAUUCAUAUUCUCUCUCAGUCUCGCUAUGUUCAGCAAGCUUAUUGAACUUUCCAUUCCAGAUGGGUAUGUCGAGUCAAGUACACGGUGUGCUAUUAUAUAUGUAUCUUUUACAAUAUCAGUAAUGUAGCAAUUUUCUGCAACAGGUAAAAUAAAUGUAUAUUUGCAACAAUCAAUAGAGUAAUAGUCAACACUUAUUUAUACAAUGGAUGUUGUUUUUACUACUGGGAGAUUUUUUUAUUUUUUCUUACUAGUUGGACUACCUGUGAAGCUACUAACUUAGUACAUUGAUACUCAAAGAGAUAUGCCGAAGCUGAAGCAUUAUGAUAACUUACGCAACUCAUUUACUCAUCAUCUAGUUCACAAGGUUUGGCACUUUCUUCAUCAAGAAAUGAAUCAUUUGACGUCAUCAACUUCGCGAUCUGCGUUGACAUCGGUAUAUUGACAGUUGAUUUCGCUGCUAAAGAAUGAAAAUGAUAUUGUGUACUAACUCAAGUGGGCUAACAACCAUUAUCAAGGAGUUAUGCUUCCAUUACCGUGCCUCUAAAGGUUACAUUGCUACAUCAUUUUAUUGUGCAGCUUCUAGUAUGAGUCAUUCUCAGUGAGCAUGGGAUCUCUCCUGGCCGUCUCAGAUUCAGAUUGUGUGAGUUCUUGGCGCCCGAAGGUUUAUUGCUUUUCCUUCUUACCUGUCUAUAUUUUUGUAUUUUGGAUUAGACAUACUUGUAUGUUUAACUUUUUUUUACUUAGAUGCUCUUGUACUGAUGACACUAGGUCUAGGGGUUGGUUCUUGUAUUACCGUGCCUUUCUUGGUCACUGUUGGGCCUUUAUUGUAUAUUGUGUAUUGUAUUUAUGAUUUUAUAUAUGGUCCUAUUUUGUAUCCUUA